rnacentral:rRNA from 1 species
UAGGGAAUCUUCGGCAAUGGACGAAAGUCUGACCGAGCAACGCCGCGUGAGUGAAGAAGGUUUUCGGAUCGUAAAACUCUGUUGUUAGAGAAGAACAAGGACGUUAGUAACUGAACGUCCCCUGACGGUAUCUAACCAGAAAGCCACGGCUAACUACGUGCCAGCAGCCGCGGUAAUACGUAGGUGGCAAGCGUUGUCCGGAUUUAUUGGGCGUAAAGCGAGCGCAGGCGGUUUCUUAAGUCUGAUGUGAAAGCCCCCGGCUCAACCGGGGAGGGUGAUUGGAAACUGGGAUACUUGAGUGCAGAAGAGGAGAGUGGAAUUCCAUGUGUAGCGGUGAAAUGCGUAGAUAUAUGGAGGAACACCAGUGGCGAAGGCGGCUCUCUGGUCUGUAACUGACGCUGAGGCUCGAAAGCGUGGGGAGCAAACAGG